AGCGGAGAUGAGGGAGCGGCCGGAGAAGAGAGGAUGCUGUUGAGCGUUAGGUCGCGACCCCUGCUGGAAGGUUAAGAGAUAUGGAGAUUUCCACAAGGAUUUGGAGAGGAGCCCCAGUAGUUACUAAAAUUCUGCAUUAGAUCUGUCAGGAAAGCUUCCCCUAACUGAAAGCUGGAUGAUGACCCGAAGGACCAGUGAGACUGCAGCUUCCGGAACUCAUUCACAGCAGUAAUAGUUAUGUCUAGUAUCUUACUCAACUGUUGUUGCUACAUCUACCACAGUGCCUGUCUCAGUCCUUUUGGGCUGCCAUAAGAAAUUACCAAAGACUGAAUGACUUGUAAACAAUAAAUUUAUUUCUCAGAGUUCUGGA
rnacentral:lncRNA from 1 species